rnacentral:sRNA from 1 species
AGUCCUCCAUCUGCUGGGGGCAGAUGAAGUGGAUGUGGCUGUCCAUGCCGCCUGCGGUCAGAAUGCGCCCUUCACCUGCGAUGACCUCGGUGCCGGGGCCGACGAUGAUAUCAACGCCCGAUUGCGUAUCGGGAUUGCCCGCCUUGCCGAUGGCGUGGAUCAGCCCGCCUUUCAGGGCGACGUCCGCUUUGUAGAUGCCGGAAUGAUCGACGAUCAACGCAUUGGUGAUCACGGUAUCCACCGCACCACCGGCGCGGGUGACCUGGGAUUGCCCCAUGCCGUCACGGAU